GGGUGAGUAACACGUGGGUAACCUACCUCUUAGCAGGGGAUAACAUUUGGAAACAAGUGCUAAUACCGUAUAAUACCAACAACCGCAUGGUUGUUGGUUGAAAGAUGGUUCUGCUAUCACUAAGAGAUGGACCCGCGGUGCAUUAGCUAGUUGGUAAGGUAACGGCUUACCAAGGCAAUGAUGCAUAGCCGAGUUGAGAGACUGAUCGGCCACAAUGGGACUGAGACACGGCCCAUACUCCUACGGGAGGCAGCAGUAGGGAAUCUUCCACAAUGGGCGCAAGCCUGAUGGAGCAACGCCGCGUGUGUGAUGAAGGGUUUCGGCUCGUAAAACACUGUUAUAAGAGAAGAACGGCACUGAGAGUAACUGUUCAGUGUGUGACGGUAUCUUACCAGAAAGGAACGGCUAAAUACGUGCCAGCAGCCGCGGUAAUACGUAUGUUCCAAGCGUUAUCCGGAUUUAUUGGGCGUAAAGCGAGCGCAGACGGUUAUUUAAGUCUGAAGUGAAAGCCCUCAGCUCAACUGAGGAAUGGCUUUGGAAACUGGAUGACUUGAGUGCAGUAGAGGAAAGUGGAACUCCAUGUGUAGCGGUGAAAUGCGUAGAUAUAUGGAAGAACACCAGUGGCGAAGGCGGCUUUCUGGACUGUAACUGACGUUGAGGCUCGAAGUGGUGGUUAGCCAAACAGAUAGAUACCCUGGUAGUCCACACCGUAACGAUGAGUUAGAUGU
rnacentral:rRNA from 1 species